UAUAAAAGCCAGACCUUUCGCAUUAUUGUCACCAAAUCCAUAUUCAGAAAGGAGCAACACUUAUAUUGAUUGUUGGUGUUUAAUGGCAUCGUCUAAAGCAUUGCUGGUUUUGGGGGUUUUCAUGCUCUUAAUGACCACAUUUGUAGCAGGAGAUGUGGUCAAUACCAUUAGAGACAAGCCACCAUACAUAAGUUACGAAGGUCUUGGAUGUGACCCAAAGAAGAAUCCCCGAUGCCGCCUCAACCCAGACCCAGCCCCUUUAGGAAGGGGUUGCAAAGCCGAACAUCGAUGUAGGGAAGGCUAGCGAGGGGAGCUAGUGAAUAUUCUACACCUUUGGAAGUAGGCCAACAUCGUUGAAUAAGUUUAUUCUUAUGGUAGCAAUACGAUCAUCAAUGAAUGAUUUCUUUUGCUCAAGAUGAUUAUUUCUUCUCCUUUCAAUUUCAUUUCAUGAAUUUUUUGACAUUAUAUAUUAUGUUGUAAUAAAUAUUACAUUAACAAAUAAUCUAAAAUACGUGGGAAAAACAUUGUGCAUGUCUAA